UACGGAGGGAGCUAGCGUUGUUCGGAAUUACUGGGCGUAAAGCGCACGUAGGCGGCUUUGUAAGUUAGAGGUGAAAGCCCGGAGCUCAACUCCGGAACUGCCUUUAAGACUGCAUCGCUUGAAUCCAGGAGAGGUGAGUGGAAUUCCGAGUGUAGAGGUGAAAUUCGUAGAUAUUCGCAAGAACACCAGUGGCGAAGGCGGCUCACUGGCCCGGUACUGACGCUGAGGUGCGAAAGCGUGGGAGCAAACAGG
rnacentral:rRNA from 1 species